rnacentral:rRNA from 1 species
UGAAGCCGGAAUCGCUAGUAAUCGCAGAUCAGAAUGCUGCGGUGAAUACGUUCCCGGGUCUUGUACACACCGCCCGUCACACCAUGGGAGUCGAUAACGCCCGAAGUCAGUGACCCAACCGAGAGGAGGGAGCUGCCGAAGGCGGGAUGGAUAACUGGGGGUGAAGUCGUAACAAGGUAAC